rnacentral:tRNA from 1 species
GCCUCGUUAGCUCAGUUGGUAGAGCAGCGCACUCUUAAUGCGCGGGUCGGCGGUUCAAGUCCGUCACGGGGUAC